rnacentral:lncRNA from 1 species
GGCAACCUGAUGGGGUCCCUUUUCAAGCUGUGGAACCUUUGUUCUUUCUCUGUUUGCAAUAAAUCUUGCCACUGCUCACUCUUUGGGUCCACACUGCUUUUAUGAGCUGUAACACUCACCGCGAAGGUCCGCAGCUUCACUCCUGAAGCCAGCGAGACCACGAGCCUACUGGGAGGAACGAACAACUCCCGACGCGCCGCCUUAAGAGCUGUAACACUCACCGCGAAGGUCUGCAGCUUCACUCCUGAGCCAGCGAGACCACGAACCCACCAGAAGGAAAAAACUCCGAACACAUCUGAACAUCAGAAGCAACAAACUCCGGACACGCCGCCUUUAAGAACUGUAACACUCACUGCGAGGGUCCGCGGCUUCAUUCUUGAAGUGAGUGAGACCAAGAACCCACCAGUUCUGGACACAAUUUCAAGUCCUCAGGUGCCAUCAAUAUUCUGAAAAUGGCAGUGAUUUUUAUUCAACCUGUAUAAGGCACUUUCACCAUGUACCUGGAAGCAACAUCUACAUCUUUUUCAGUUUCUUCUACGCCAGGUGUGUGCUUAGCUCCAUGACAAAAGGUGACAGCUUAUUCUGCAGCACACACACAUCAU